CGGGGGAGCAAGCGUUGUUCGGAUUUACUGGGCGUAAAGGGCGCGUAGGCGGCCUCUGCAAGUCGACUGUGAAAUCUCCGGGCUUAACCCGGAAAGGUCAGCCGAUACUGCAGGGCUAGAGUGCAGAAGGGGCAACUGGAAUUCUCGGUGUAGCGGUGAAAUGCGUAGAUAUCGAGAGGAACACCUGCGGCGAAGGCGGGUUGCUGGGCUGACACUGACGCUGAGGCGCGAAAGCUAGGGGAGCGAACGGGAUUAGAUACCCCGGUAGUCCUAGCCUUAAACGAUGAAUGCUUGGUGUCUGGGGUUUUAUAGUCCCCGGGUGCCGUCGCUAACGCUUUAAGCAUUCCGCCUGGGGAGUACGGUCGCAAGACUG
rnacentral:rRNA from 1 species